GAUGAACGCUGGCGGCGUGCCUAAUACAUGCAAGUCGAGCGAACGGACGAGAAGCUUGCUUCUCUGAUGUUAGCGGCGGACGGGUGAGUAACACGUGGAUAACCUACCUAUAAGACUGGGAUAACUUCGGGAAACCGGAGCUAAUACCGGAUGAUAUUUUGAACCGCAUGGUUCAAAAGUGAAAGACGGUCUUGCUGUCACUUAUAGAUGGAUCCCCGCUGCAUUAGCUAGUUGGUAAGGUAACGGCUUACCAAGGAAACGAUGCAUAGCCGACCUGAGAGGGUGAUCGGCCACACUGGAACUGAGACACGGUCCAGACUCCUACGGGAGGCAGCAGUAGGGAAUCUUCCGCAAAGGGCGAAAGCCUGACGGAGCAACGCCGCGUGAGUGAUGAAGGUCUUCGGAUCGUAAAACUCUGUUAUUAGGGAAGAACAUAUGUGUAAGUAACUGUGCACAUCUUGACGGUACCUAAUCAGAAAGCCACGGCUAACUACGUG
rnacentral:rRNA from 1 species